rnacentral:sRNA from 1 species
AAAGCACUGAAUGGGCUAGGGGCCGCGAGGUUACCGAACCCUAUCAAACUCUGAAUGCCGGAUAAUUGAUGAAUAGCAGUCAGACUACGUGAGAUAAGUCUCGUGGUCAAAAGGGAAACAGCCCAGAUCUACAGCUAAGGCCCCUAAGCGUACGCUAAGUGGGAAAGGAUGUGGAGUCGCGGUGACAACCAGGAGGUUGGCUUAGAAGCAGCCAUCCUUGAAAGAGUGCGUAAUAGCUCACUGGUCAAGUGGUUCUGCGCCGACAAUGUAGCGGGGCUCAAGCGUACCGCCGAAGCUGUGGCAACAACACGCGAUGCUGGCGCCAGGAACUGGAGUGCUGGUGUGUUGUUGGGUAGGGGAGCGUCCUGCACGAGGUGAAGCCUGGAGGGAACUUCUGGUGGAUUGUGUGGGAGUGAGAAUGCAGGCAUGAGUAACGAAUCUGCGGUGAGAAUCCGCAGCGCCGAUUGACUAAGGGUUCCAGGGCUAGGUUAUCCCCGG